AAAAAAAUAAACUCAACCGGUUUUCAAAGGUGAAAACCCAUAAUUCUUAUCAAACAAUGUGCUGUUACCGACAGAGUAAUGACGUUUAAGCGCCAUAAGAUGUCGCAGCAAUCGUGCGCAAGCGCCUCACGAGGGAUGAGUAGAUUCCUCGCGAAGUAAGCGCACAGUCGAGCGUUAGUACGCGAAGCUGCCGUUUCGUUUGUUCGGCGGUUCUCGGCAAACUUCGGUUUCAUAUUGUAAUUGACGGGUAGUAGGGGUAACCUGGAUCGAGCAUAGAGUAAUAGACGGAGAAAGAGAGAGAGAAAGCAAGAUAGAAAUCAGACCAGGACGGUGCAGUGAGCGGAGACCAGCGUGUCUCCUCUCGUGCAUGCGUUCGCUUGUCAGGACUGUGUGUGUGUGUUCAACACAAAGAAAGAGACAAAAAGACGUAUGCGUGGCGCGGUGAGAAACGUGUUACGAACAGUGACAGACAAGAUGGCGGUGUACUUUGUGCAGUGGUAGUAAUAGUGGUGCGUAGAGCACAUUAAAAAGAGUAGUGGAACGAAGGGGGUUAGUUAAGGGUUGGCAGCUGGUUAGUAUGGAACCAGCUCUGACGUCGACCACGAGACGUCGCGGUCAUCAACAUCAUCCGCGACAUGCUACGCGCCGACGUCUCGACGCCUCCAGCAGAGGACCCGCGCAGUGUGGCCCUGCUGAUAUCGUUAAAGAUACGGCGAUCAGAAACAACGAAACAUCAACAACUACAACGUCACCGAAGCUUGAUGAAAAAAGCAAUGUCAUCGAUACAAAAUGUUCCACUGCGGUGACAGUGCCCACAAUCGGCACGAGGUGGCUUCGUGAUCCGACGGCCACAGUGUCCACGAAAGAUGUAACAUCGAAUGAAGAUUCUAACAAGAUAAAAUAUAAUCUUGAACAUGAUAGAGAAGAAAACAUCCGUCAUAGGCUCGCGCAGUGUAGCCUGGAUGUUCUUGACGAACGACACGAACAAUUUGUUCGUAAAAGAAAUGAAAAUGAAAGCUUUGAUAGUUAUAAAAUGGAAAAAGUAUUGGAUAAUUCUGAAUCAAAAUCAUGUGGGAAUGAAAUAUGUGAAAAUAAAUCUGAUGAAGAAAAGAGAAACAAAGAAAAUUCGCCAGAGCCUGAGCACGCGGUCGCGAGGGCUCGCGGUGAUGGAAACUCUGACGACGAAUCAACUAAUGUCGAGGAGGAUCCUGAACUUGCUGAACUUGCUAAAUUGAGAUGUCCUAGCGAAAGAACCGAGGUACAAGCUGAAAGAGAAGCUAAAAGAAGAAAAAGAUGCGCUGAUUAUCCUGGAUUAGCCUUUGGAUGGUCUAUAUUCUCCAGCGAUACAAUGAUGAAAUUCGGUCUCAUAAGGAACGAAUUGCAGAAUAUUAUGGGAAACCAGCUAAAACGGGCUGAGUCCGAAGUAGCCGCUCUGAAUCGUCGUAUCCAAUUGUUGGAGGAGGAUCUCGAGAGAUCGGAGGAACGCCUUGCAACGGCCACUGCUAAAUUGGCAGAGGCGUCGCAAGCAGCGGAUGAGAGCGAACGGAUACGCAAGGCACUCGAAAACCGUACCAAUAUGGAAGAUGACCGGGUAUCCCUGCUGGAGCAGCAGCUAGCACAGGCUAAAUUGAUCGCCGAGGAGGCGGAUAAAAAAUACGAGGAGGUCGCCCGUAAAUUGGCCAUGGUUGAGGCCGAUCUAGAACGUGCCGAGGAACGUGCCGAAGCUGGAGAGUCGUCGCCAGAAAACUAGUCAUGAUGGAACAAGAUCUCGAGCGCGCCGAAGAGAAGGCAGAACUUUCAGAAGGGAAGAUCGUUGAGCUCGAGGAAGAAUUACGCGUAGUUGGCAACAAUCUGAAAUCCCUCGAGGUCUCCGAAGAGAAGGCGACACAGAGAGAGGAGACUUUCGUGGGCCAGGUGAAGAUAUUGGAUAGUCAAUUGAAAGAGGCUGAAGCUCGUGCCGAGUUCGCGGAAAGAUCGGUGCAGAAAUUGCAGAAGGAGGUCGACAGGCUCGAAGACGACCUUGCCGCCGAGAGAGAGAAAAACAAAUUGCUGCAGGAGGAGAUGGAGGCCACCCUGCAUGACAUCCAGAACAUGUAGAUCAUGUCUCGCGGCUGAUAGAAAGACGAGAGAGAGAAAGAGAGAGAGAGAAAAAUAGAUAUAGAUAACAAAAAAAAAGAAACAAAACAGAAACGUUCAAACAAAAGCAUACGCUGAUACUAGGAAUAUACGAUUCCUUUGAAAUUAAAGGAACAAACAGAAAAGUAAAUAAAUAAAGUAAAAACGCAUGGAACACGUAUUCGAAAGGGAUGAGGGAAUCGGAGAAUGAAAUGAAUGAAAUCGAAUUAAACGUGGAAAGUUAAAAAAAAAAAAAAAAAAAAAAACAAGAGAAGGGGGAAAUAUGAUAAAGGAAAAAUAUCGUUGAAAAAGUAAAGUACACGCUGUGCGAUGUGAGCGCUUUUGUGUGUGGUGCACACUAUCAACGAAACGAUAAAAAAAGAAGAAUGAACAAAAAAAAAAGAAAAAAAGUCUCAUACAGUCUCUUUUAGGCUAGAUUCACACAUCUACCAUUGUAAACGCCCAUCUCAAACAAGCGCCCCGGUUAUGCAAUUCUUUUUUCGUGUGUGUAUGUGUGUGAUGCAUGUGUGUUAUAUGCUGCUGUUGCUGUCGCUAUUGUUGCGUGUAUGUGUGUUUUGCGUGCGCGAGAAAUCGAGGGAAACCAGACGACAUAUAGGUAGAAAAAAGAAGAAACAAUGGAUAUUCCAGUAUAAAGUGUAAAGUAUAAAAAGAUAGAGCGUGCGGUUUGUCAAAGGGAUUUGAAGUUAUUUCCCUUUUUUAAUCCGUUCCUUUUCUUUUCUUUUUUUUUUGAAGUUUUUUGUACGUUUGUUGUCCAAACGACUGUUUUUUUUUUUUUUUUUUUUUUGAAAUUUUUUGUACGUUUGUUGUCCAAACGACUGUUUUUUUUUUUUUUUUUCUUUUAACGCUACGUUUUAGUUUCAAUCGAUUUGGUCAUUAACAAAUGCUAAUGAUUUCUAAUGCGAUCCCUAAAACCGUUUCAACGAACGACAAAUAUUGUAAAGAAAGAUCGUGAAUAAAAGAAUAGGAGACAAAGAAUAAUUAAAAACGGUAAUCGAUCAAAGUCUAAUGGAAUACAUCGAGGAAGAAUUUUCAAUUCAAUUCAGUCUGCCAAGUAUUUUCUGCUAGUUACGUUCUGCCUAUCGCGUAUCGUGGUCUCGGGGAAAAUUCGAUCUUCUGCGGUUCACAUCCGGUUCAAUUCGGAUCACAACUGAUCCCUGAUAUUUAUAUCAUUCUAUAUCUUGAAUUAAUAUGUUUUGUCGAAAACAUAAUUCUUUUACAUCAUAGUUAUUAUUAUUAUUAUUUUUAAUGAAAUUGAAUUAAUUAACUCUUUAUUAGCAUAAAAUAAAAUUAAGAAGUGAGAUUUGUAAUAAAAUAAUACAAAUCAAAAGAAUACAAAUCUGCACUAAAAUUAAUGAAAUAUUUAAUAUCUGAGAAUAUCUUAGAUAUUAAUAAAAUUCAAUGAUAAUCAUAAUUAAAGAUUCCAAUAUAAUAUAUUGGAACAUUCUCAUAAGGAAUGUUUGACAGAUUUGACUAAAUAAGCAAAUUCUUCCUCAACGUAGUACCACGUUGUCGAUAAGAAAAAGAUGAACAGAAAAAAAUUGUUCGUCACUUUUCGUCAUUUACAUUCCAUAUUGCCUAUGGUUCAGCGUGAAAAAAAAUAUUCUUGGUCUUCUUCCAUGCUCGUUCGCGCACUGGUGAUACAAAGGUUUAAAGGCUUUUAAGAGACGCUCACUGCCAGCCAAAUGAUUCCUUUUGAGGGAUAAAUUCGAUAUUAAACUUGUGUUCGCGCGUGAUUCAUUCAAAAAAAGACCAUUAUUAUUGUAACUAGUUAAAAUUUAGAAUUUAGCGAGACAAGUCUUGUAGAAAUGAGAUCUAUAGAAAUUUUUUGUAUUUUUGUAUUUUAUACUCGUAGAAUUUUUAGCGUAUACGA
rnacentral:misc_RNA from 1 species